UAGGGAAUCUUCCACAAUGGGCGAAAGCCUGAUGGAGCAACGCCGCGUGUGUGAUGAAGGGUUCCGGCUCGUAAAACACUGUUGUAAUAGAAGAAUGACAUUGAGAGUAACUGUUCAAUGUGUGACGGUAUCUUACCAGAAAGGAACGGCUAAAUACGUGCCAG
rnacentral:rRNA from 1 species